rnacentral:rRNA from 1 species
AUUGAACGCUGGCGGCAGGCCUAACACAUGCAAGUCGAACGGUAGCACAGAGGAGCUUGCUCCUCGGGUGACGAGUGGCGGACGGGUGAGUAAUGUCUGGGGAUCUGCCCGAUGGAGGGGGAUAACUACUGGAAACGGUAGCUAAUACCGCAUAACGUCGCAAGACCAAAGUGGGGGACCUUCGGGCCUCACACCAUCGGAUGAACCCAGAUGGGAUUAGCUAGUAGGUGGGGUAACGGCUCACCUAGGCGACGAUCCCUAGCUGGUCUGAGAGGAUGACCAGCCACACUGGAACUGAGACACGGUCCAGACUCCUACGGGAGGCAGCAGUGGGGAAUAUUGCACAAUGGGCGCAAGCCUGAUGCAGCCAUGCCGCGUGUAUGAAGAAGGCCUUCGGGUUGUAAAGUACUUUCAGCGGGGAGGAAGGGAUGAUGUUUAAUACGCAUCGUCAUUGACGUUACCCGCAGAAGAAGCACCGGCUAACUCCGUGCCAGCAGCCGCCGUAA